UACGUAGGGGGCUAGCGUUGUCCGGAUUUAUUGGGCGUAAAGAGCGUGUAGGCGGCCAGGUAGGUCUGCUGUGAAAACUCGAGGCUCAACCUCGAGACGUCGGCGGAAACCAUCUGGCUAGAGUCCGGAAGAGGAGAGUGGAAUUCCGUGGUGUAGCGGUGAAAUGCGCAGAUAUCAGGAAGAACACCCGUGGCGAAGGCGGCUCUCUGGGACGGUACUGACGCUGAGACGCGAAAGCCGUGGGGAGCGAACAGG
rnacentral:rRNA from 1 species